rnacentral:rRNA from 1 species
UCUUGCACAAUGGGGGAAACCCUGAUGCAGCGACGCCGCGUGAGUGAUGAAGGCCUUCGGGUCGUAAAGCUCUUUUCUGCGUGACGAGGAAGGACGGUAGCGCAGGAAGAAGUCUCGGCUAACUACGUGCCAGCAGCCGCGGUAAAACGUAGGAGACAAACGUUAUCCGGAGUUACUGGGCGUAAAGGGCGUGCAGGCGGCGCUUUAAGUUCGGCGUGAAAGCUCCUGGCUAAACCGGGAGAGGUCGUCGGAAACUGGAGUGCUUGAGGGUGAUAGAGGCGGGUGGAAUUCCGGGUGUAGUGGUGAAAUGCGUAGAGAUCCGGAGGAACACCAGUGGCGAAGGCGACCCGCUGGGUCACACCUGACGCUGAGACGCGACAGCAUGGGGAGCGAACGGG